rnacentral:rRNA from 1 species
GAGUUUUGAUCCUGGCUCAGAUUGAACGCUGGCGGAAUGCUUUACACAUGCAAGUCGAGCGGCAGCGCGGGGCAACCUGGCGGCGAGCGGCGAACGGGUGAGUAAUGCAUCGGAACAUGUCCAUGUCGUGGGGGAUAGCCCGGCGAAAGCCGGAUUAAUACCGCAUACGCCCGAGAGGGGAAAGUGGGGGACCGCAAGGCCUCACGCGAUUGGGUUGGCCGAUGUCCGAUUAGCUAGUUGGCGGGGUAAGAGCCCACCAAGGCGAUGAUCGGUAGCUGGUCUGAGAGGAUGAUCAGCCACACUGGGACUGAGACACGGCCCAGACUCCUACGGGAGGCAGCAGUGGGGAAUUUUGGACAAUGGGGGCAACCCUGAUCCAGCCAUUCCGCGUGAGUGAAGAAGGCCUUCGGUUGUAAG